rnacentral:rRNA from 1 species
GAUCCUGGGCUCAGGAUGAACGCUAGCUACAGGCUUAACACAUGCAAGUCGAGGGGCAGCAUGGUCUUAGCUUGCUAAGGCCGAUGGCGACCGGCGCACGGGUGAGUAACGCGUAUCCAACCUGCCUUACACUCUUGGACAGCCUUCUGAAAGGGAGAUUAAUACCGGAUAGUAUCGAGAGAUUGCAUGAUAACCCGAUUAAAGAUUUAUCGGUAACGGAUGGGGAUGCGUUCCA